rnacentral:rRNA from 1 species
UACGGAGGGUGCAAGCGUUGUUCGGAAUUACUGGGCGUAAAGAGCGUGUAGGCGGCUGAUCAAGUCCGGUGUGAAAGCCCGGGGCUUACCCCCGGAAGUGCGCUGGAAACUGAUCAGCUAGAGUAUGGGAGAGGGAAGUGGAAUUCCUGGUGUAGCGGUGAAAUGCGUAGAUAUCAGGAGGAACACCGGCGGCGAAGGCGGCUUCCUGGACCAAUACUGACGCUGAGACGCGAAAGCGUGGGGAGCAAACAGG